rnacentral:rRNA from 1 species
CUGAGAGGAUGGUCACCCACACUGUGACUGAGACACUGACCAGACUCCUACGGGAGGCUGCUGUCGAGAAUCAUCCGCAAUGGGCGAAAGCCUGACGGUGCAAUGCCGCGUGGGGGAUGAAGGCCUUCGGGUCGUAAACCCCUGUCAGAAGGGACGAAGCAAGUGACGGUACCUUCAGAGGAAGCCACGGCUAACUACGUGCCAGCAGCCGCGGUAAUACGUAGGUGGCGAGCGUUAUUCGGAUUUACUGGGCGUAAAGGGUCCGCAGGGGGUUUGCCAAGUCCGGUGUGACAAGUCCAGGGCUCAANCCUGGAACUGCGCCGGAUACUUGGUGAACUGGAGUGCGCGAAGGGCAGGCGGAAUUCCUUGGUGUAGCGGUGGAAUGCGUGGAUAUCAGGAAGAACACCGACGGUGAAAGCGGUCUGCUGGCGCGCCAAUGACCCUCAUGGACGAAAGCGUGGGGAGCAAACAGGAUUAGAUACCCUGGUAGUACACGCUGUAAACGGUGCAGACCCGAUGCGGGGGGCAGCCCCCUCCGUGGUCCAAGCCACGCCGCUAAGUCUGCCGCCUGGGUACUACGGUCGCAAGGCUUUUACUCUAAGGAAUUGACGGGGGCCCGCACAACCGGUGGAGCAUGUGGCUUAAUUCGAGGCUACGCGAAGAACCUUACCCGGGCUUGACAUAUUCCGGCCCGUCCGUGAGAGCGGACCUUCCCUUCGGGGACCGGUAUACAGGUGCUGCAUGGCUGUCGUCAGCUCGUACCGUGAGAUGUUCGGUUAAGUCCGGCAACGAGCGCAACCCGUAUUGUCAAUUGCCAUCAGGUUAUGCUGGGCACUCGGGCGAGACUGCCCGUGUCAAGCGGGAGGUAUGUGCGUACGACGUCAAGUCCGUAUGGUCCUUACGCCCGGGGCUGUACACGUGCUACUAUGGGCGGUACAGUGGGACGCGACACCGCGAGGUGGAGCCAAUCUUCAGAACCGCCCCCAGUUCGGAUCGGAGUCUGCAAUUCGACUCCGUGAAGUCGGAAUCGCUAG